rnacentral:rRNA from 1 species
AGUGAACGCUGGCGGUAGGCCUAACACAUGCAAGUCGAACGGCAGCACAGUAAGAGCUUGCUCUUACGGGUGGCGAGUGGCGGACGGGUGAGGAAUACAUCGGAAUCUACUUUUUCGUGGGGGAUAACGUAGGGAAACUUACGCUAAUACCGCAUACGACCUACGGGUGAAAGCAGGGGAUCUUCGGACCUUGCGCGAUUGAAUGAGCCGAUGUCGGAUUAGCUAGUUGGCGGGGUAAAGGCCCACCAAGGCGACGAUCCGUAGCUGGUCUGAGAGGAUGAUCAGCCAAACUGGAACUGAGACACGGUCCAGACUCCUACGGGAGGCAGCAGUGGGGAAUAUUGGACAGUGGGCGCAAGCCUGAUCCAGCCAUACCGCGUGGGUGAAGAAGGCCUUCGGGUUGUAAAGCCCUUUUGUUGGGAAAGAAAAGCAGCAGGUUAAUACCCCGCUGUUCUGACGGUACCCAAAGAAUAAGCACCGGCUAACUUCGU